UACAGAGGUGGCAAGCGUUGUUCGGAAUUAUUGGGCGUAAAGCGCGCGUAGGCGGUGACUCAAGUCGGAUGUGAAAGCCCUUGGCUUAACCGAGGAAGUGCAUCCGAAACUGAGUCGCUAGAGUUUGGAAGAGGGUCGCGGAAUUCCCGGUGUAGAGGUGAAAUUCGUAGAUAUCGGGAGGAACACCAGUGGCGAAGGCGGCGACC
rnacentral:rRNA from 1 species